UACGUAGGGUGCAAGCGUUGUCCGGAAUUAUUGGGCGUAAAGAGCUCGUAGGCGGUUUGUCGCGUCGGCUGUGAAAACUCGGGGCUCAACCCCGAGCCUGCAGUCGAUACGGGCAUGACUGGAGUUCGGCAGGGGAGACUGGAAUUCCUGGUGUAGCGGUGAAAUGCGCAGAUAUCAGGAGGAACACCGGUGGCGAAGGCGGGUCUCUGGGCCGAUACUGACGCUGAGGAGCGAAAGCGUGGGGAGCGAACAGG
rnacentral:rRNA from 1 species